GAUGAACGCUGGCGGCGUGCCUAAUACAUGCAAGUCGAGCGAACGGACGAGAAGCUUGCUUUUCUGAUGUUAGCGGCGGACGGGUGAGUAACACGUGGAUAACCUACCUAUAAGACUGGGAUAACUUCGGGAAACCGGAGCUAAUACCGGAUAAUAUUUUGAACCGCAUGGUUCAAAAGUGAAAGACGGUCUUGCUGUCACUUAUAGAUGGAUCCGCGCUGCAUUAGCUAGUUGGUAAGGUAACGGCUUACCAAGGCAACGAUGCAUAGCCGACCUGAGAGGGUGAUCGGCCACACUGGAACUGAGACACGGUCCAGACUCCUACGGGAGGCAGCAGUAGGGAAUCUUCCGCAAUGGGCGAAAGCCUGACGGAGCAACGCCGCGUGAGUGAUGAAGGUCUGCGGAUCGUAAAACUCUGUUAUUAGGGAAGAACAUAUGUGUAAGUAACUGUGCACAUCUUGACGGUACCUAAGCAGAAAACCACGGCUAACUACGU
rnacentral:rRNA from 1 species